rnacentral:rRNA from 1 species
UACGUAGGGUGCAAGCGUUGUCCAGAAUUAUUGGGCGUAAAGAGCUCGUAGGCGGCUUGUCACGUCGUCUGUGAAAACCCGGGGCUCAACUCCGGGCCUGCAGUCGAUACGGGCUGGCUUGAGUGCGGUAGGGGAGACUGGAAUUCCUGGUGUAGCGGUGAAAUGCGCAGAUAUCAGGAGGAACACCGGUGGCGAAGGCGGGUCUCUGGGCCGUAACUGACGCUGAGGAGCGAAAGCGUGGGGAGCGAACAGG